ACAGAAGGGACAAAUACAUGCAACUAUUGCCUUCCUGGCUGGGAGAAAGCAGAUGAUUCCUGAUAUACCUACAGGUCAUACCCCAGUGCAUGGCAGCAAAAUUGCGGGACUGGGAUGAAGGAGGAAGGCGACCUCCCUUUGAGCACAUCCCAAUGCUGAUUUCACUGUUGCUGUUACCCCUGAGCUCAGGGUAGCCUGCUGUCUGCUUGUGCCUGGAGGCCCCAGGUCAGAGCCCUGCGUAACUCAUUCUUGAUCUGCUAACAUGGGAACUAUAAAUAAAUGGUGACACCAGAGAGUGGUGGAGGAGGUAGAAAGGGGCUGUGCUUCUCAACCUGAGACACUCAGUCUAUUCAGCUUACCCAACAGACUGAUGACGAUCUGUAAAUAUCAACCAAGCAAGACUAUUUCUGAUAGCCAAGGGCUCUGGCCUGACAAAGAUAAAAUUCUCUGGCAUGAGCUGGAGCUGGACAAAUUCGGACUAAAAAGAAGUUGCAGUUUAUUUCAAGUGAAGCAAACAGCUGAAUUUUCUUCACUAAGGAUUAUUUUUGAACCAUGAGGACCUGCUUAGUUUCAAGAUGUGCUGCAGCUUACCCCCCAAAAUUCCCAAUUUGUGACUGUGAAAGAAUCACUUGGGAGAUUGAAAGGAGAUUGCAGGUGCUCCAGAUGAGCCCUGGCAAUUCACACCAAGGGGAUUUAAGACAUUACAGUGACAGUCAUCCCUCUGACUUUUAUCCCUCCUACCUUCUGCCACCAGCUGCUCCUUCUGCCAGCACAAAGGGGACACGCUGGCCUCUGGUGCCCACAGCACAGCACAGUCACCUGGACAGCACCGAGCCCAGUUUAAUUAAUACAGCUGUCAUGGAGGGGGCAGCAGUGGGGCCGACAUACCCCUCUCCUCUGCACCAGGAAAGCAGGGGGACCAUGGAGGAGAAAAAUCCUUCAGCGUGCCCUGCCAGGAGGCAGCAGCACUUGCCUGGGAGACCCAGCCCAUGCACACACGGUAGGAGCUGGGAGGCAGGAGAUACUGUUGAGGGGCAGCUGCAGCACACACAGACAGGAGCAAAGGACAGGGAGGAAGAACCCUGUCUUAUCCUUUGUUCCUGCAGUAACCUGAAUCAUGCAGCUAAACAUUCAGCACCCUGCCCUGCCUACAGCACCGUGCUUCAUGAUGUGGAAAUUUGCAGGUGGAGAGAGGGAAGUAGAACCAGCAUAUACAGCAACAAGGACCUCAGGGAGGUGACGCUACAGCCAGGGUGGUUCCACCUCCCUGAAAGCAGGAAUGCCUGUGCUGUGCAGGUAUGCACGUUACACACAAGCACACUCACAUGCACACCUACCUUUUCUAACAGCAGAAGCAGCCACAGAGUCCAUAUUUUCUAGAUUUUACUUCUAUAUCUGCAAAAAGCAAGUUUGCUUCUGUUUCUGAUUCCCUGCAGUUAUCGUGAAAUGCCUUCAAGAGAGCAGCUCUGUCUUCUCGGCUGAGUGAACCUUUGAUGUCCAGCACUGCACUCAGAUGUUCCUUCCUUUCCAAAAGGAUAAGAGGGCAGGAUCCUUAAGGGGACCAGCUGCAGGACCCUGGGAAGAGAAGCAAAGCUGUGCUCGGGACAAGGGACACAACAUACAACAUUAUGAGCUGGACUCGUACCAGACUGGGGAUCUCACUGUGUGGCUUAGGAGCUUUGCAGGACUGUUUGUGUAUGUACAGAAGUUUGUUUUCCCUCCAGGUUAGGAGGCAAGAAACUGGGGUGUAACCACAGACUGCUUCCAGGGCUGCUGGGUGACUACCUUCAGCAGUGCAGAAUCCCCUCCUGCACUUUCUUUGACAAAGAGGCCAAAUGUACCUCAUUUUUCCCUACCUCACCUGUCCUCUCAAGGCCAUGUCACCCUUUGGGAAGUGGUUUCCUUCCAGAGGUAAGCACAGCCCAGUAUCUAGUGAAAACAAGCUCUGUUGGCCAAACAUGAUGGCAUUUCUGCUGUCCUGGAGCAAGCCCAGGGAAAGUUGAAAAGUGACCUUGGGGAGAGGGUGAGGGGACACAGAUCCCCUAACAGAAAAACAGAAAAAAGAGUAAGCAGGGCCGGACACUGAAAAGGAUAUGACAUGGCUGGUAGAUGCUGCAUAUGGUCAGCUCCCUCUGAACUAGAGCACGCAGAAGAAGAAAGCCUCAUCCAGAAACACAGCAUUUUUAGCAAAGCCGGAGGAAGCAGAAUGUGGAUGAACUUCCAAGAGAAAGCUUCAGGUCCUUCCUGUUCAUAUUUUUCAUCAGUGCAGUAAUGCGAUUAAAUUGCUUCUCUGAAUUAUUGAUGACAUCACGUCAACAGAGACUCUGUGACAAAGCAAACCUGGAGAACGGGCUGCCAAACUGGGGCAGGAGAAGCCAGGGCUCCUCUGAUCUCCACAGGGCAUUAGAAACAGCAGGCUGCAGUCUCAGUGCAGCUCACCUCCGCAUUGAACAUAAAUUAAAAAUAAUAGUAAUAUUAAAAGACAGCCUUCCCUCUCUUCCUCCACACUGCAGACAAACAGCAUGCCUAGCUCUGCACAGCACACAAGCUGUACUCAGCUCCCAACGCACUGAUACUGGAAGACUUCAUGCUUGGCAAGCUUGCUAUUACAAAUGCUAAUUAAUUUGAAGGUGUCAGAUUUAGUUAAGGGCUAUAUAGACAGGCAAGGUCAGGGGUAAACAGCCUGCAAUCUAAAAGGACAAAAAAGAGGCAUCUUGUCAGCAGUGCUUAAGUGCCUUUGACAGGUAGUGCUCUUAGGAGAGAAGCAAGGUAUUUCCUAAUGUGCUUUAAGGUUGGAGGGGAAGGAAGAACCUGAAGAGAGGGCAGAGCAGGGCAGGGAGCAGGUGCAGCCUCUGCAGCAACUGCAUGAUAAAUUCAGUCUGUAGCAGAGUACAUAUUUUGCAUGCAUAACUGUGUACCUCAUUUGACUGAAUAUCAGCCUGUCCCCUGCAAAUCGCUUAUACGUUUCCUCCCUGAGAUUUUCGGUGUUCCCACAUCAAUAAGAAAGUGCACAGACCGGGGAUGCAAGGGGAACAGUGCUAACUAGAUGCAGACUUUUUUCACCCAAGCUCAAUGUAGGGUUUUAGUACAUAAUUAGAUUUCCUGUAUCUCCUUUACACUAUAAAACCAGCUUUCCUUGCACAUUACAUCCAAAGCUGAUGCUGAGAACAGCAUUACUGGUAGACUUCAGAGCUAAGAUUAGAGAAUCCUCCUGCUAUUCCCAAUGGCUCGAUUGCUCAAAGCAUUGACUUGUCUGUGAUUGAUCACUCCAGGAGAGGUGGAUCUUCAGCUAAGAGCACUGCCAGCUUCCAGCUUUCCACCAUGAAACUAAUGCAUUAAUUGUAAUGGGUCUGAGAGGUUUCUAGAGGAGCCUACAGACGAUCAUUCUGAUUUCAUUUUAUUCUUUGGACAAGGUCAGAAUUGCUGAAAAAUGACUUGCAGGGGGCUCAGCUGGAAGAAAAUAGAUUUCCAGUCCCUAGCACUUAAAUUCAUAAGUUCUAAGAAUGACUCCAAAUUUGCGAAAUUAUUAAAACCAAUAAA